AUGCCGUGCUGCGGCGGCGCCGUCGCCGUCGGAUGAGGGGGGUCGUUGCGGCGGCGGCGGGGUGGCUAGGGCGAAUGGUGCGACAAGGCGAUUCUUUCUCGAGUGUGUGCAAAUCGCUGCGCGAGGCAGCAGCAGAUCAACGCCUGAUUGGAGAUCCUUUGCCCCUCCCUCCUAUCAGUCCUUUACUUCUUCUAUAUAUCAUCAUGUUGUCUCUACCUUCUUUAUUAUGCAGCUACACUUGUGGUUUCAGACUUUCAGUUCAGUUUGGUCAGAUUUAUCUACUGACCAACUAUCUGUUGGUGUUUCAGUUCAAUUCCUGGACGACAUACAUUGGUUAUCUUUCUUGUAGCAGUGUAAUGUUAAUCUUCUGCAUCUUGUUUGUUGCAUUGGCCGAUCGAAUCAAAUUGCAGCAGCACAUGUCAAAAUUGGGAUUCUGGGCCUGCUAUUAUUAUGUUUCAAUCAUCUUCUUUCAUGUCAUUUAAUUGUUCUGAUCCUAGGUGACAAUUGAUAUUAAUGCGUACGUGCAUCCCCAGUUUGCUCAUGUUCAUAGUCAGCAACUAGCUAGCUCAUGAACUAUAUAUGCAUCCUAGCUACAUGCCAGUCAAUUAUCUGAUGCACUGUUGAUCGUCGAAGCCGACUUAAUUAUGAUUUAAUUUCAGUUCGCUCAGAUUAAUUUGCUGCUGCUAGUGUACCUAUGUUUAAUAAAUUUCUGGAUGGCUGCUACUAUCCAGUGUAAUGUUGACCUGCAUCUUAUUAGUGGGGCAACUGAAUCUACAGCUAGCGGAUGUCAAAAAAUUGGGCAUGUUAUUUUUUCAUCAUCUUCUGUUAUGUCAUUUGCUCCAAUUCUAGAAUUGAUGGCGGUCUUGAUUAAGGAUCUGAGCAUCGCCCCUCAGUUCAUGAAUAAUGUCUGGAAUGGCGUAACACUGACCCUCGUCUGUUACAGAUGAACUGAUUAUACAUUUUUUUCUUCCGAAUAGAUGAACUGAUGAUUGAUAGUCACCAAGAAACUCAUAAACUGCAUUCUACAUGCUAGUGUAAUGCGAUCUGCAUCUUAUCUGUGUGACAAUCAAAUCGAUUUGAGCAGCGCAUGUCAAACGGGGAUUUUGGACAUCCUACUAUCUCUGUUUAAUUAAUUCCUUGAUGGUCUUAAUUAGCUAGCCAUUCUAGCUCACUGCCUCACCUAAUCGAAGUGAGGUGUGGGAUUGCUGGAACUGCCGACAAGUCGUUUAAUUUAUCUCAUUUUGCAGAGUUAUUGUUUCAGUCCAGUUUCAGAUUCACUGCUGCUAUGCUACUAUCUGUGUUUAAUCUACCUUAGUGUCAUCGAUUAGGGGAAUCAGUGUAGUAGUCUAAUGUUGAUCUGCAUCUUAGCUGUUGGGCGAUCGAAUCAAAUUGCAGCUAGCGGCACUUGUCCAAAUUGGGAUUGCAGACAUGCCACUAUGUUUUGCUCAUGUUGUGUGAUAUCAUUUGUUCGAUUGAUGUCAACCGUGUUGAUCGAUUUGUUCUAUUAAUUCUAGCUGUGAUGAUUGAUUAAUUAUCCCAUGCAUUGUUGAUUGUCGAAGCCAAGCUCUUCUUAUCAGUCGUUUAUUUCAUCUAGGCUCUCUAUUAAUUCUGUAUGCCGGUUAAUUAAUAUGUGCUCUAUGUUAUGUAUGCAGAUCAUUGGCAUUUUAUUGUUCACAGAAAUGGUCGACCGAGGCAAUAACUAUGAGUAUAUUAGACCUGGACUCCCUAUCUUGCGGACGCAAGAUGGACCCACCUGCCUUUUCAAUGCAAUAGGGUACACCACGGAUUUAGCGUGGCCAGGAGUUUGGAUUGAUGCUGAUUCUUAUGCGGCGACUACGAGAGUCAGUUGCUGGUACCUGUGGGGUACGACUGGAAUCCCCGUGCCAUUACUGCACUUGAGUUAUUCAAGAAUAGAGGGGUCAAGGCAAUUUGCAAGGAUGGAAAUGAGAUCCGGGUACACAUCGCAGGUUACAAGUGCCAUGCGCCCAUGAUACAUGAAAGGGUGUUUCAUAUGAUAGAGUCUGGGGCCAACCUGAUGGGAACCUUUGCCGUGCGGCCGAAGGAAUUUGCUAACUUGGGGGAUAGGAUUUAUGAGCUCGACACACCGUUCCAACCUAAUGAGCGUCCGGCGUCGCAUAUCGUCACGUUUGUUGGGCACGGAAAGAAGAAUGGACGUCCAUACUUGGUUUUCUUGAACACCCACGGGUCUGAAUUUGGGACACUUGGAUUAGGACGGGUCUACUUCGAUCAGGUGUUCCAGGAUCCCAGGGAAGAGCAUAAGGGAUUUAGGUUCAUAUCCGUGAUUGCUGGUGCUCAUCCUACCCAGGCAGCAAAGCGUCGGCGGCGGCAUACUACCAGAACCCAGGAAGAGCAGAGGAGGAAGACACCGUACUGAGGAAACUGCUCGAUGACGGCCAUGCCAGAGGUGAAGAGCACCGAAACACAUGACGUACACUUGUUCGUGGAAGAGGCUGCCAAAGUUCUUUGGCUGACAGAAAAAGCAUAGUCCCAAUGAGGGGUGGUCUUGUUGAGAAUUCGUUUACAAUAUGCAUCUUGUAUCUGUGAUCUACGUAGUCUUCCAGCCACUUUAUCUCUCUGGGUUUGGUAACUCUCAACGUCCCAGUCUUCUAGACUAGAACAGCGACAUGUAUGUUUGGAUUCUUGGACUGUCAUGUAUGAUUGAAAUGGGGAAAUCAUGUAGUCAAACUAUCCAAAUGGCUAAGAACAUUGCUCA